UAUUAUUAUAAUUAUUGUAACCAAAUUACCAAAUGUGGGAUUUAAAAUGUUAACAUUAGCUAGUAUGCUAGAUGGUGAUGGAUAAAUAACUUUUGUGUGUGUGUGUGUGUGUGUGUGUGUGUGUGUGUGUGUGUGUGUGUGUGUGUGAGUAUUGAGUUGUUUUUUGUUUCAUUCGGGAUGGGAAACACACAUAAUGACAUCUUCUAUGAGAGAAAUCUCAGUGCAUUUAUAAUUUCUUCUGUUUUGAUUAAUUGACAGAAAGAUGCAGAGAUGAUUAAUUUAAAAACAUCUUCAACUUAAAGUGAAAACAUCUCUAACCCCAUUCAAAAUUAAAGACAAACAAAGAGUAAGGCUGUGCAGGUUCAGGGACACACCUGUGUGUGUGUGUGUGUGUGUGUGUGUCACUAUCAGAGGUGAAAUGUUAAAAGCAUCAGAGUUUUCAGGAUUUAUCGUGAGCUCUUUGCUCUGUGUUUGAAUAGAUACUUUGAUUUCCAAGAAGACUUUGUGAUUUUUUACAACUAUAAAAAAAAGUCUGUCAGUAAAUGCUGUUAAGAGAUGAGCGUGUGAUAUUACUAUGCUUGAUGCUGCAUUGACAAGGUUUCAAGCAGAGAGAGAACAUGCUGAACAGCACGAGGAGAGCAACAAACAGUUUGCCAGGAUGGUGGGAAACAAAAACAAAGAGCCUUUGUGUGAUAAUAUAUAUGUUAUGAUGACGUGUCAAGUAUUUGAUUAAACUCCAUCUAAGAUUUUUAUGUCUAGAUAAUAUUUCAUGUAAUUAUAUAAGGGAUUGUAACCAAAAGUAGCAGAUCAUUUUAAUGCAACGACAAAGUAAGGGUACUCCAAGUGUGGUUUUACACUUUUCCAGCAUAUCUCUCCUUUUGCAUUGGCCCGAGUAAUCUGGAGUGUUUUCUAAUCAGACAUUCUUAAACACAUUGCAAAAAUGUACAUUAUAAAACUCUUAAGUGUAGACAUUUAGCACACUGUUAUAUGAUGUAAAAUACACAACCUGAUGACCCUUUUUUCAUUUUCUACAAUCAGUUUCUUUAUAUGUGUAGUUGUAUAAUCAGUAGGCCUAUCUGCUGAAGUAGGAGUUCAGACUGUCAUGUUUUUGUAGAGAGAUAAUCAAGAUUCUCCAUUAAGAGUCUAAACUCUCUCUGAUGCUUUUAUUGAUCUGUGAUUGAUUCAUCAUUCUGCUGCUCCGAUGAAAUCACGCACUCCGUGCCUCCACUCAUCCAGUGAAAUUAUAUUGAAGGAAUGGUCGAGACUGGAGACCAAAUGAGGCACAAUUUGAGCCGCGAGUCAUGUAACCUCCAUGUUUCUUGUAAAAGAGUCACAUUUUCUAAGUGUUAAAAAUGUAAUCUUGAAAAACAAAAAUGCAAAUGUGUUCAUGUAGUGGUGACACUUACUUCAUCUUAAACAUACUUACAUUAUUUUACAGAAGUAGGGUUUACUUGUAUCAUGUUGUAUUGUCUGUUAUUUAUACUUUUAUUACAGUAAAUAAUCUGAAUACUUCCUGCUGGUUUUCUGUAGACCUGAAUCAGUUUUCUAAAAGGGCAAAGAGAAUCUUA